rnacentral:rRNA from 1 species
GACAGAGGGUGCAAACGUUGCUCGGAAUUACUGGGCGUAAAGCGCGUGUAGGUGGAUUGGUGUGUCAGAUGUGAAAGCCCUGGGCUCAACCCAGGAAUUGCACCUGAAACUACCAGUCUUGAGUGGUGGAGAGGGAAGUGGAAUUCCUGGUGUAGAGGUGAAAUUCGUAGAUAUCAGGAGGAACACCAGUGGCGAAGGCGGCUUCCUGGACACCAACUGACGCUGAGACGCGAAAGCGUGGGGAGCAAACAGG